GGGUGUGCAGAUCUGAAUCGACUAAUGCUGAUGAAGUCGGAGGAGAUCGUCAGAUUAGGGAUUAGAGUGAGCACAGCUUGAAGGCAGUCCUCACGGUCAGAUCUUGUGCGCUAGCUGGGGAGAACGUUCGCCUUCGCCAGUCAGAUCGGAGCAUUUCGAACUUAGAGAGUGGAGAGCCGACACCGACAGCAGACUCUCCUCACAAUUCGACAUAGAGCGUCAAAGUGACCAGGCAGAGAAGUCAGCUUCUGAGAAAGGAAAUCGUUCCAACCCCUUGGCGAUCUCAUCGUCCCGUUUUGAUAUCCUAGACGGCACCAUUCAUUCCGCAGCCAUCCUGUUCGAGUGCACAGAAAGCGGAAUGAUGGAAACCAUGUUACGCAGUAUCCUGGGCCGAAUGAAUGGAACGUACUGGUCACAGCUGAAAGUUCAACUAGCAAUCUUGAUGAUGAUAGCUUGUCUUGUGGAUGUAUGCUCCGCUGCCCCUUACCACGAACGAGCUGAGGAUCACCACUUCAGGAACAAAUUGCUAAAAGGCCUCACAUAUGCCACCCACAUCAUCCAUUUCCUGUUUGCUAUUGCUAGCGCACAAGCUCGACCCGGCUCGGGUGAUGACAAGUGUCGUGUAGUAUUUGCUCAUAUAUGUUUCUGGGUUGUAGGGCACACCACUGUACAUCAUAGUACUGAUAUUGAGCAAGUCUUUGAGGAGCAUUGGCGUCAUGGCAAAAUUAGAGCUGCCUAUUCGGUCGUAUUAAUGUUUAUUGCAAUUUGUAACUAGGGACCUUUUCACACACGUGAUGUGCAACUCAAUUUUAUUUGGCUAUUGUACAAACAAAAACUUAUUACGAAGUAGUGGUUGCGACUUCGGCGAUGAUUUGUAAGAAAGGGUUUGCUCCCCACACCGGAGAAAAACUUAUUGAUAUAAAUAUUGCCCUCAUGAUACCCUGAUUGCGUCAAACCAUUUUUCUACAUCUUGUUCUCACCCACUUACUGAGGUGUGGUGAGACCAUAAGUGGGAUCAUUUCCAAGUCCACCCAGAGUUUGGGGAUUUCAGGCGGCGUAAGCCGUUGGGCGGUUCAAUACCCAAUUGAUUCAUCUUUCAAAGAUUUCUUUUGAAUCUCUCUCCCCUCUCCCGGGAGACCCACGCGA